GCUUUCGUGGCUUAGUUGGUUCAAAGCGUCGGUCUCAUAAUCCGAAGGUCGCCGGUUCGACUCCGGCCGAGAGCA